rnacentral:lncRNA from 10 species
GUGAGGACGGCGGGCACUGGGCACCGCAGCGGGGCGCGGGGCGGGCUGGAGGCGCGCGGACACUCCCCCGGCCGGCAAGGAAGGGGCGGGCCGAGGCGCGGGCCGUGUGCCGCUGGGUGGCCCUGCGAGCCGCCGCUCUCCGCCUCUCUAGGCUCAGCUUCCAUCACCGCGUGGCGGAGCCCGUGUCCGGGCCAGCAAAGACUGCAUGAGAGAGACAGAUAAUUCAGGCCAUCUGGACCCGAGGCCGAUGACCAGGACAGAUGCCACCUAGAUCAAAAGAGGAAGAUAUUUUUAGAGUUUUGAAUGUGGGCUCUGAAAACUUUUAUAUCUUAAGCCAAAUGAACAUCAUGAUGGAUGGUUCAGACUUAACUGGGUCUUUAUCAGGGGAUGGAUUAAAAAGUAAGAAGUCCUAGAAACUAAUUUCUGAAAAUGAGGGGAGCCAGAAUUGCAACACUUCCAUCAAAUAUGCCGAGGCUUGGUCAGCCAGGGCAAUGGGGUCCAGGAUCAAAGAUAAUAUCUGGGCUCAGGCUGAAAAGCUGGUUUUCAUGGAGCUUGCCCAGCUUGCUCUGGGGCCUCAGGUAAGUCACUGCUUUCUGCUUUGCCACUUUGGCAUUGCCAUUUUAUCUGGGACGAGGUGUGAGGAUAAGGAGGAAGUAUUUUCAGGUCUUAGGAAACGAGUCACCACAUUAUAUAAAGAUUGUAAAAAUGUGGCUCUGGUGAACAUUCUCAUCACCGUCACCAUGGCCAAGCUCCUUUGAGAAGAGACCUACAUAAGUAAGAGUUAUUCUUGGGCCCACUGCCCCCAGACCCCCACAGCCUUGGCUGGGCCACAUCCUCUAAAGAAGCUGGGACUGGUGGGAAGUUCGGGGGAACCUGGGUCCCUGGACCCGGGAACUGGACUGCAUCCUCCCCUCAUUUCUCACCCACAUGUUCCUUUCUGUUGCUCCACCAGCCACCCAGCCCCACGGUGGGCCUUGCCUCGUCUGUUAGGUGGUAUUUUCAUCUUUGGUCAGAUGACAGCCCCCAUGCUCCAAAAAUUCUCCUGCAGCCAGGGCUUGGAGAAUCCCGACCCCUCUCUGGCAUGAACCUCUCCUCAUCCAGGGUGGCUUGUGUGGUAGAGCCAGGGGAAUGGAGAAGAUGACCUCUGAAGCCUGAAGGCUCUUUGGGAAGCAGGACACAAACAUCCUGAAGAGCCAGCCUUGAGCUGGCUGCACAAGAGACUCAUAGACUUUGCGUCAACAUCCACCUCUCCAGGCUGCAGUGGGUGUACCUGUUCACCACCACCUCCAGCAGCACUGUCGCAGCGGAGCAGUUCUUACAGCCAAUGAGCUUCCACACCACCUCCCUGCAGUUCUCUGCAACCGAGGCUCCAUCCUGCACUGAUGGGCUGCCUGACACGUCGGCCUCAACAAGCAUUUCCAGCACAUUCUCAGCUUUCCUGCUCUGCUGGGCAAAACACAGGGUGAGAAGGGGAGAGGAAGAACGGGACUGUGGCCCAGUUCUAGGCUUGGAGUCUAGCGAGGAACACCAGGUGCCUGCAUUAAAAGGAUGGUUGGAGAGACAAAAGAGGAAAAUGAAUGCUUCCACGAAGCUCCCUCUUUGUGGCAGAAUCAGUCCAAUGGAGAAAUUCUGAAAUUCCAGUUUUACAAAGUUCUUCAAACUUACCUCAAGGAUGGCACCAGCUGAAGCUCAGUUGCCCUGUCUCUUAUGCACCAGUGCAUCUGCCCCAGAAACUCUUAUCUGGGGCUCAGUUUGCCCCCAUGUGGUAUAAGUCCCUCCAAAGAUUCCAUUUCUAGUUACUCGUCUCAAUGUCACAAUGAGAAAUAUUUCUGCAUAUUUCCUGCAAAGCGUCUCAUUAAAGAAAGUAUUGGUUUGAUUCAGAAAAUGCUAUGCUGUUCCAGCUUCACUUUGGAUCUAUAGUUUUAGAAAGUAUCCAACUCUGCUUCUAGUUUAAGCUGCCCUGUUAAAGAGUUAAUGGAAAAAACCCCACUAUGGUAUGAGGAAGGGGUGGGAAUUAACGUUUGGGUCCCAUUCUGUGCCUAAAACACUGGUUCCCUCUAUGUUUUGAGCCUGAAAUUGAGUCGUUCUUAUGGAAGGCAGAUGCUAGAGGAGCUUUCUUUGGGAUUCUCAUUACCCGUUUCCAUCAGACCAGGCCAUUAGAUGGUUGCUUCUAGAAGGAUGGUGCAGCCCUGAGUCUGCAGGGGGCAGACCGGUCACAAAAACCAGAGUGGAGCUGGGGGUCAGACUGGAGUUCAUUGGGUAGGUUCAGUUCACACCCUGGUGCACAGGGUCCACGAAGGCACAACAAGGCACAGGUGAGAGCCAGGAGGGCAAGCAGGGAUCCAAGUGUACACAGCCCAGGGAGCAAGACAAGCAGAGAGGCCUGGAGCCAGAAGGAGGCUCGGAAACAACGAUGCCAGCAGUGAGCUCACGGGUCAGAAGCUUCUGGCCCAAGGCUUUAUGGAGGCCAUGCCUGAGCUGAAUAUUGGUGGCUGAGCAGCCAAUAAACGGAACACAGAUGGGGCCAGGGCAGGGAAUUCCAGGCAGGAGGAACAGCCAGAGAGCAAAGGCAGGGAGGCUGGAAGCUUUGCUGUGUGAGGAUCUGUGUACACACAGGGAAUGCUUCACAGGCUGUAGAGACAGUGACUAGCUUCUGAGAUCAGAGUAGGCUGGGCUGAGUAAUGGGAAGGGUGGAGGGGGCAGAGACCCACAUUACAGCCCGUGGCCCUGAACCCAGGACAAGCCACGGGGGUGGAGGAGCAGGCAGGAGAUGCUCCACCACUGCUGGCAAGGAGCAGGGCAGCCUGCCCAAGGGGGUACUGCCUGGAGCAUCACUGACUUACCCCAUCUGCUGGCGAGGAUACAGAAGCUCAGCCCACAGGGCCACCAUGGAUGGCCCUAAAGGUUGUGUCCUAUGCAAGGGGACCACAGAAGGCUGGUGCCCUGGACAGUUGGCAAGAGGCUGAGCGCAGGGCAGUGAGGGAUGCUCGUGUGCCUGGGGAAAGCUUCCCUGGGCUUCCCUUUUUUUUCUCCAUCUUCACCCUCUCACCCCUCACCCCUCCUGACACCCUGUCCCUUGGGGGAGCACCUAACACCCCUGUGUCCACCUGAACCACACCAGCCCUAACGUGCUGAAUCCCCGCUAAAUGAGCCCAGUGCUCAUCCAUCCAUCCGCGCAUCCGUUGUUCAGUGGGGAAAGUAGCACGUAGCAGGUCCGAGCACAGGCUCUGCAGCCAGAAUUCCUGGGUUCCAUGCCUCACCCAGCCACGUAUUUGCUGUGUGACCUCAGGCAAGCUACUUAGCUUCUCCACGCACGUGUGCUCAUCUAGAAAACGAGGCUGAUGCUCGUGCCCACGUGGCAAUGUGAUGAGUAAUGCUAGUACUCAUCUCUGAGGGUGGAUGGGAGAGACACGCAAAGUGUUUGCAAGGGGGCCGGCACCUGGGAGCACUCAUACAUGUUGGCUGUCACUGUCAUGGAGCACCACCGUGUGCCGGGCUCUGCUUGGUGCUCCUGGGCUGCUCACAUGAGCAAGGUGCUGACUCUGCCAAGGAAGGGUGCUUUUUUUUUCUUUUGGAGAAAGAAAAGGGAUGCUUUCUGCUGCUCCCGCCCUGAAAACACUGCGUGCCCCUCUGCUCUUCUCCUACUAGGCUUGAGAAGCAAGACCAGCACACCCUGAGUUGGGGUGUUGCCUCCUAAGCCACUGGCCAGCAAUUCUGGGGGGGGGGGUGGGGACGCUGAAGAGAAUGCGGGGCUCUGCUGGUGCAGCAUGGACCCUCCUUGGUCUGGUGAGCUGGGAGAAGCAGGACAGCAUGGGGUCCAGUGAUACUAACCGUGUGGAAAUAGAACUCCUCCAGAUUACAGGGCACCUGAGAAUUUCUUACUGACUUUUGUUUAAUAAUUCAAAAACACAUCAAAUCAAACUUAAUCAAGGCAAAAGCUGUCUCUGGAGCCUUCUUCGUGCUUCCUGGAGUCAAGCUCUUACAGAAUCACGGCAGCACCCCCCUCCCUAGCUCACGAAGGAAGCUGGAGGACUCCACAGCUGCUUCAGGAAACAGACUGUCCCCAGGGAACCCUUCAGAGAUCUUGGGACCAGACAGGAUGUACCUGGACUCCUGGAAUUCCCUCUCCAGCCUCCAGGUCCCGUGAGGAUGUGAGCUGGAGCAGUACGGGCUUCCCUGAUCCUUCCUGUGUCCAGACAGCCAACAUGUGCCGCGGGAGCCCUGAGAUGAUUCCGAUGCACGGAGGGAGCCGGGAAACGCUGGUAUUUCUGCCUGUCACUUAUUAUCUGGUUGAGCUGGUGGCGGGAGUCCCGGCCCAUGUGUGUUACCAGAGGGAUGGUCUAGAGAAUGAAUCCAUCUGUCAGAGGCAUCCAAGAAGAAAGGCCUGGGCCAGGAUCACAUGGAAGACCCUGAAGACAGGAUCGGGUCUUGCCUGCCUGGAUUGAACAGAGACGCAGUGACCAGUCCCAUCUGCUCCCACCCUGCUGCCCUCUGAAUCGAGAGUUUGAGGCCAUGACCAGGGUAACGUUCAGCUGGUAGAGACAACACAACCCUGCUGGCUGUUUAAGCCAUGCUGGAGUGGUGCUCACAGGGUAACAAUUUUCAAGUGCUACGGAUGCAAUAGCUCAGCGACUGGCAGCGCAGCACGUACCUGCUGUCGUGGGAGGUGAGAGCCACCAGUGCCCGACAGCGGCUGCAAGGCAGUGGUGGCGCUCUGCAGCCAGCCGGCCCACCCCUCCAACAUCUGCAAGGGGGUGGGAGGCUGCCUCACCAAGCUACCUGCUACUCAUGGGGGCGAUGGGCAUCAGGGUGGCCUGCCUGGAGCCCCGAGAGCACAUAGAAGCUGCCAGAUGAGGGCAGUGAGGCCGAGGGCCGGCAGUAGGGCUGCAGAUGCCCUGAGCCCUAAGGUCAAGGUGGAUGGAACUGCUGUGUAAGUCUGAUGCCGAGGAGACCAGGUCGUUGGGCUUUCAGCCCUGCGGCCGCCAAGUCUCAGGUUAGAGCUCCCUCUCGCGGCCGAUGCUGGGCACUACAUUGCCCAAGACCCAGGUGGGCCGAAGUCUUGAGAAAGGGCUCGCAGUCAUCGUCGCCAGCAGGCAGACACCAGGCACCUACCUCCCCGACAUACCCAGCCUGGUACCUCGAAGACCAGUAGCCUUGAGCUACACUUGGGAUUCCCAAUACAGUUUCAAAACCGUCUAGCUCAUCUUUCAGGAACCUUCCAGGGUUCACAUUCUGAUUUUUCAGUAAGGUUCUCACCUCUGUGACCAAUUACCUUGAGACUGAUGUCCUGCACCAUCCUGGAGUGUUGGGAUCUGCAGGUCGUGAAAAGGGAAACCAAGCAAUCACUUUGGAAUGACUUCCUGGAACUUCCCUGGCCCCUCCUUCGUGUUCUCUGAUGACAGCCAGGAGCUGACUCAGAAACCUCAUAAGAAGCUGAAGGCAUGACGACUUCCCUGUUAAAAAAAAAAUGUCCCACGUGUGGCCGAGUGCCACACCCAGGCAGCUGCCGAAAAAAAGCACCAGACACCAUGCAGCUGGGCCCCAGGGCCCGGCCCAACCCGGUUGGCCUUCUCCGGCACCUGCAGGGAACUUGUCCUGUCUUGUCUCUGCUCGCCCCCUGCUGGCUGCCUGGAGCCAUUCCGUGCUGGUUUCUUCGCGUCUUCUGUCAGGAGAGAGAUGCUGAUGCUUACUCAGGGAUCCGGCGGCUGUGACCCUGAGGCCCCGAGGUGGAUUAACAGAGCCCUCAGCACCGAGUCUCCAAGCUGAAGGCAGUGGUCACACUCCCUGCUGCCCUCCAGGUUUGGAGGGAUGGAGAGGAGAGAGGAGGGGAAGAAGCUACCUUCUUCACUAGCCUUGCUGAGAGACAAGUGGGUACGGCCCACAGGCACCUCCACCAGCCUGCCCUCUACAUCCAGAUUCGCAAG